AUUGAACGCUGGCGGCAGGCCUAACACAUGCAAGUCGAGCGGAUGAAGGGAGCUUGCUCCUGGAUUCAGCGGCGGACGGGUGAGUAAUGCCUAGGAAUCUGCCUGGUAGUGGGGGAUAACGUCCGGAGACGGGCGCUAAUACCGCAUACGUCCUGAGGGAGAAAGUGGGGGAUCUUCGGACCUCACGCUAUCGGAUGAGCCUAGGUCGGAUUAGCUAGUUGGUGGGGUAAAGGCCUACCAAGGCGACGAUCCGUAACUGGUCUGAGAGGAUGAUCAGUCACACUGGAACUGAGACACGGUCCAGACUCCUACGGGAGGCAGCAGUGGGGAAUAUUGGACAAUGGGCGAAAGCCUGAUCCAGCCAUGCCGCGUGUGUGAAGAAGGUCUUCGGAUUGUAAAGCACUUUAAGUUGGGAGGAAGGGCAGUAAGUUAAUACCUUGCUGUUUUGACGUUACCAACAGAAUAAGCACCGGCUAACUUCGUG
rnacentral:rRNA from 1 species